GAUGAACGCUGGCGGCGUGCCUAAUACAUGCAAGUCGAGCGAACAGACGAGUAGCUUACUCCUCUGACGUUAGCGGCGGACGGGUGAGUAACACGUGGAUAACCUACCUAUAAGACUGUGAUAACUUCGGGAAACCGGAGCUAAUACCGGAUAACAUGUUGAACCGCAUGGUUCAACAGUGAAAGACGGUCUUGCUGUCACUUAUAGAUGGAUCCGCGUCGCAUUAGCUAGUUGGUAAGGUAACGGCUUACCAAGGCAACGAUGCGUAGCCGACCUGAGAGGGUGAGCGGCCACACUGGAACUGAGACACGGUCCAGACUCCUACGGGAGGCAGCAGUAGGGAAUCUUCCGCAAUGGGCGAAAGCAUGACGGAGCAACGCAGCGUGAGUGAAGAAGGUCUUCGGAUCGGAAAACUCUGUUAUUAGGGAAGAACAAAUGUGUAAGUAACUAUGCACGUCUUGACGGUAACUAAUCAGAAAGCCACGGCUAACUACGGGC
rnacentral:rRNA from 1 species